UACGUAGGGACCAAGCGUUGUUCGGAUUUACUGGGCGUAAAGGGCGCGUAGGCGGCAAUUCAAGUCAGCUGUGAAAUCUCCGAGCUUAACUCGGAACGGUCAGCUGAUACUGUUUUGCUAGAGUGCAGAAAGGGCAACCGGAAUUCUUGGUGUAGCGGUGAAAUGCGUAGAUAUCGGGAGGAACGCCGGUGGCGAAAGCGACUGUCUGGGGUGCCUGUGACGCUGAGGCGCGAAAGCCAGGGGAUCAAACGGG
rnacentral:rRNA from 1 species